UUAGAGGAUACAGCUCAAGGGCAAUAAAAAGUCCGAAAAAAAAAAAGCCCGCUACUCGCUGUUCGCUGUUAUUCAAGUGUAUUUAUGUAUUCUUUUUCUUGUACAAAACACUGAAUAAACAAGAGAAUCAGAAUAUGAAAAUACGUUAUUGGAGGCUGUUAACUUGUUCUCCGUUUAGACGUCAUCACAGGAACAUGGUGAGUGGGAGAGGUUAAUGAGCUUGACAAGUGUAGGCUAAUGAUAGAAGGUUUGUUUUUUAUGAUAUUAUUGAGUGGAAAUAGAAUGAAAUUAGACGCAGAAUGUGAAAAUACCAACGAGUGAAUGAGUGAGUGAAAGAUAGACAGAUAUAAUAGAAAUGUUAUUCAAGUGUGUGUGUAUAUUCUUUUUCUUGUGUGCACUGAAUAAACAACAGAAUCAGAAUACGAAAAUACGUUAUGCGAGGCUGUUUAAUUUGUUCUUGGUAUCGAGGUCGUCACAGCAACAUGGUGAGUGGGAGAGGGAGUGAGUGAGUGAGCGAAAGAGACAGACGGAUGGUACUCAAGUGUGUGUAUGUAUUCUUUUUAUUGUGUGCACUGAAUAAACAACAGCAUCAGAAUAUGAAAAUACGUUCAUAUUUUAUACAACUGCGGCCAGGCGCGAAAAGCUGGUUGACUGCCGGGGCCCAUACUUAUAAAGAAUUUAGGCGUUUGACUCACGUCUCGCCUCAGAGGUGAGUGUGCACCCUAGCCGGGGGUCCAGCCUCCACGGGGAGUGGGGAAUGUAAAAUUGCUAACAACGGCGAGAUCAGUUAUUUCAUAUGAAAAUUAAUGGGUAAGAAUACCUUAAAAUGGUGAAAGUAUUGAAUAGAAGUACAUUAUAUCCAUUAUAAUAGGGUUUUGUAAGACUAUAGUGAGCGUUUGAAUGUAAAACGAUUUGAUGAGGCACGCUGGCUGUCUGGCAACACCCGGCAAUGUUUACAGUUGAAGGUCGCUGCCUCAGACGAAGACCCAGCUAGGAUUUAUGCCUGCCUCGGACCAACUUUAGCUACUCGCGCCGCGUCACAGAUGAACACCCAGGAUAUAGGGCUCCACAGGGCCUGUUUGGGCUCUUAAGACGAGCCUGAGACAAAGUGUUAGCUUUAUAAGUAUGGGCCCUGAUUUGCUUGCCAUUCUACAUUCUGGGUGUGGGUGCUCUUCCCCAGUCACUGUAGGCAAAGUAUGCUGGGUCUGGGUGUGCUUGGGAAGGGCCGUUACUUGUGUUUCUUGGGACAGACACGUGAAGGUUCUGUUCCGCUUCAAUCUCACCACUUUUUACAUUCGCUUCCCAUGAUUUUCGUCUCCAUGGCUGUGACUACUGGGAUGGAGUGUUGCCUUGUCCUUCAGCCUAUUCAUGCAUGGGUGUCUGUCUACCUUUUUCGAUGUAUGUGCAGGCAUGUUCCUCGCAUUAUAGUCAAUCCAGGAGGAACUGGCGGUUUGUGGGGAUUCUGCGGGGGUCUUUCCUUCCGUACCACGCUGCCACAUCUCGUCUCCAGUUGUGGGAUUUGGGUCAAGGUUUAAGUGGACAACCAUUA